rnacentral:misc_RNA from 1 species
GAGAAAAAGCUUGAUGUUGAUAUUGCAACUCAUAUACAUGUCAAAGAUGAUGGACCCAAGCAGAGCUUGCUUUACAUUGAGACGGCAGAUCGACCUGGAUUACUUGUUGAAAUCAUUAAAAUCAUGGCUGAUAUCAAUGUUGAUGUAGAAUCAGCAGAGAUUGAUACAGAAGGAUUGAUAGCCAAAGACAAGUUUCAUGUCAGCUACAGAGGGGCAGCCUUAAAUAGUUCAUUGUCUCAGGUGCUCGUGAACUGUCUACGUUACUACCUUAGAAGACCAGAAACAGACAUUGAUAGCUACUAAUACUUGGUGGACAUUGUGCCAAAAUGUUCUUUGUACCAAAAUGCAAUUGAGCCUAAAUUCAUCUGCUAAGUUGUAUGUAUGUCUCUAAUAUCCUGAGAGAUAAUGUUCUUAACUGUAAUCUGAUGCUUGUGGAACCCUCAAACUAAUAAUUUCUGCCUUGUUAUUACUCCUAUACAUUCAAGGGUAUACAUUUCACAAAUAUGAUUAGUUUGAGGGUUCCACAAGCAUC